CAGGUCCGCGUGUAACGACAGCAUUCGAAUCAUUGGUCGCAAACGUGGUGGCGGCGGAAGUGGCGCGGGUUGGGACAAGCAGCCGCAGCAGCUUCAGGGAUACACCCCGGAUUGCCUAGCGAGUGUUGCCAUGGGAUAGAGCAGCAGCAGCAGUAGCAAUAGCAGCAGCACAAGUGGCAGUAGCGUAGCAUCAGUAGUAGCAGCAGUAGCAACAGCAAGGGGUUGCAGGGACGUUACUGGGUUGCAGGCCGGCUGCUAGUAUCGCUAUCACUACCUAGCACCCACCCAUCCACACGUCAUUGGGAUGUCACCAGCAGAGAGGGGAACGUACGGCAAACCCGCCGUUCCUGUCUGCCUCUGCCCGUCAGCUGCCUUAAAUCCAAGUUUCCACCCCUUAUGUCCGUACACGUACACACACAUACAUACGUACACAUAUACACACACACAAGGACGUGUUUUUUUCCACCGCCUCUCCUGACCGGGGUGCCACCAAAGACCGUCUUAACUUCUUCCUCUUCCGCCCCCAAACGGCGCCCAAGGGAGGAGCACCACCAACAUCUCCAAAACCGCCCCAAGCGGGAGCCCCGUCCCAAAGCUACCCCACAUACCGGGAGCCCCACAUGCUGCGCCUCCACCGCCUCCGCCUCGUCUCCACCCACAUCAUCACCGCCGUCUCCGUCCCCGUGGAAAUCUGCUUUCACUCCCCCCCCUGAUCCCGCACCAGCCCAUAAUGCUUGAACAGCAGCCCCAUCCACGUCCCUGACCCCUCCAUUGACUCCGCCGCUGCCGCCAGGGAUACCGCCG
rnacentral:lncRNA from 1 species